CACGUAGUUAGCCGGUGCUUCUUAACAAAGGUACCGUCACCACACCCAAAAAAUGUGGCUUCGUCCCUAACGAAAGGAGUUUACAACCCGAAGGCCGUCAUCCCCCACGCGGCGUCGCUGCAUCAGGCUUGCGCCCAUUGUGCAAUAUUCCCCACUGCUGCCUCCCGUAGGAGUCUGGGCCGUAUCUCAGUCCCAAUGUGGCCGUCCACCCUCUCAGGCCGGCUACCCGUCGACGCCUUGGUAGGCCAUUACCCCACCAACAAGCUGAUAGGCCGCGGGCUCAUCCUACACCAAAACAAUAAUCUUUCCACCAUGAGAUGCUAAACCAUGGUCCUAUCCGGUAUUAGACCCAGUUUCCCAAGCUUAUCCCGAAGUGCAGGGCAGAUCACCCACGUGUUACUCACCCGUUCGCCACUCGAGCACCCCCACACAAAAAUGAUGCGGGCCUUUCCGUUCGACUUGCAUGUGUUAAGCACGCCGCCAGCGUGUCCUGAGCACGAGUCAACUACU
rnacentral:rRNA from 1 species